rnacentral:rRNA from 1 species
ACCGGAGCUUGCUCCACCGGAAAAAGAAGAGUGGCGAACGGGUGAGUAACACGUGGGUAACCUGCCCAUCAGAAGGGGAUAACACUUGGAAACAGGUGCUAAUACCGUAUAACAAUCGAAACCGCAUGGUUUUGAUUUGAAAGGCGCUUUCGGGUGUCGCUGAUGGAUGGACCCGCGGUGCAUUAGCUAGUUGGUGAGGUAACGGCUCACCAAGGCCACGAUGCAUAGCCGACCUGAGAGGGUGAUCGGCCACAUUGGGACUGAGACACGGCCCAAACUCCUACGGGAGGCAGCAGUAGGGAAUCUUCGGCAAUGGACGAAAGUCUGACCGAGCAACGCCGCGUGAGUGAAGAAGGUUUUCGGAUCGUAAAACUCUGUUGUUAGAGAAGAACAAGGAUGAGAGUAACUGUUCAUCCCUUGACGGUAUCUAACCAGAAAGCCACGGCUAACUACGUGCCAGCAGCCGCGGUAAUACGUAGGUGGCAAGCGUUGUCCGGAUUUAUUGGGCGUAAAGCGAGCGCAGGCGGUUUCUUAAGUCUGAUGUGAAAGCCCCCGGCUCAACCGGGGAGGGUCAUUGGAAACUGGGAGACUUGAGUGCAGAAGAGGAGAGUGGAAUUCCAUGUGUAGCGGUGAAAUGCGUAGAUAUAUGGAGGAACACCAGUGGCGAAGGCGGCUCUCUGGUCUGUAACUGACGCUGAGGCUCGAAAGCGUGGGGAGCAAACAGGAUUAGAUACCCUGGUAGUCCACGCCGUAAACGAUGAGUGCUAAGUGUUGGAGGGUUUCCGCCCUUCAGUGCUGCAGCUAACGCAUUAACACUCCGCCUGGGGAGUACGACCGCAAGGUUGAAACUCAAAGGAAUUGACGGGGGCCCGCACAAGCGGUGGAGCAUGUGGUUUAA